ensembl:lncRNA
UGUUUUGCUGCAGCCCCAGAUGCAGAUACACCAUAAAUGGCAUCGUUCUUGCGAUCAUAAUCAAAUUGUUUUUUGAUUGACAUCUCGUCCAGGACGAGCGUACACAUCCUCUCCACAGGGGUCAUGGUGGCGGCGAUGACUCCCAUUUGGGAGAUGAUUCCCUGUAGGAAGCCAGGCUGUCAGGAAACAAAAGUUGUGCCCUAAUGAAGUUCCGGCAGCCCUCAGGACACCUCUGGAGCAUCUCCUCCAUAAUUUCAUGGGGACUACGAAAGAACAAGAGGUGGGGAGGCAAUUGGUGGCGGGUUGUCGCAAUCCACCAGUGUGGGGAUGGCAUCUCUGUUGGACCUUGAUGCUGUGACAACGGACAAGUCUUCUUCCUCUUUUAUUAUAUUGUUGUUCCUCUGUCCUUUUUUCCCUGCCUCUGUUCAGUAUUGUAGCGACCAGUGUUCGCGGGUUCAUUCACUUCCGGGUUCGUGCCGGGGAUUCUGGGGGAUUCCCGGCGCGCAUGUUGUUGUGUUAUUGUUGCUGUUAUUGUUGUUGUUCUGGGUCCGUUACUAGUUGUUGGGGUUAUUAAUGAUCAGUGGGGUUAAUGGGUUGGGAUUGUUAAUGGGUUGGGAUUGUUCAUUGUUGUGUGUUGUUCUGUUGUUGUUGCCACCGCCACCGAGAAUGACUUGUGUGUUAGUUAGGUUUGCUGUUCUAUGUACGUGCGAAUGAGUCAAUAAAAGAGGGUGUUCUGUAGUCGAGCGGUGUAUGAGGCACAGACCCCUAGUUGACAAAAGCCUGUCUCCCUGUUCUUCCUGGUCGGCGCUACAUUGGUGUCAGAAGUGGGAUUAUGGAAAAAGGAACGUUUUCCAACAUGACGCGUCCAAAGGAGGAAGACUCGGAGGAAUGGCUCGGCGCGACGGCUGCGCAAUAUCGCCACCCAGCGGCCGUUGGCGAUGUCGCAGGAUCGGCGGCGGUCGCUCGCCACCUGGUGGCCAGGCUGCCGAAGUUUUCUGGAGCGACGCCACUGGAACCUUACCUGGCGCAGUUGAGGAUCGCAGCGCGGUACUACGGUUGGGGUAUGGAUGAGUCCGCCGCUCAGCUUGCCCUAGCCUUGGAGGGAACGGCGUUGCAGGUUCUGCUGGACCUGGCCCCAGCAGACCAGCGUGACCUCCAUGCCCUGACCCUGGCCUUGGAGAGGCGUUUCGGGCAGCGGAGGGUCGUGAGCCACAGCCGGGAGUUGCUGACCAGCCGCCGCCGCCGGGAGGGGGAACGUUUGGGGGCCUACGCAGCGGACGUACUGCUCUACGCCCAGCGGGGCUACCCCGACUUCCCUGCUGCGGCUAGGGAGGAACUAGCCCUUCAAUCGUUCCUCCGAGGACAUGCCCCGCCGCGGCUGGGACUGCACGUCCGCCUCGCCGGGCCCCCGAACCUCGAUAUGGCUCUUGAGCUGGCGGAACGGGCGGAAGGGGAGCUGUCCAACCUACAGCCGUCCGGUGCCCCCCAACAUCACGUCCGGCAGGCGGACUACGAGCGGGACGAGGACGACGAGGAAGAGUGUUUCCAGGCCUGGACCUCGCCCCAGCGUUCCCGGCAGCGUCCACCACAGCGUCCACCACCCGACGACAGACGUAGGUCCGGAGAUGAUCGGCGCUGUUUCCGCUGCGAUGAGCCAGGCCAUCUGGCCCGUGACUGCCCUGCACCGGCACCACGGGUUAGACCAUCUCGUCCGGCGGAAAACGGCAGCGGAGCGGCCCAGUGAGGGGACCGCCGCUCCGGAAUUCCUGCUCCUCUCCACGGUCGGUGCGCUCUGGUUGGCGGCCCGGGCCGCGCCAGGGGCCUUUACCUCCGCUGCGGGAUCGACGGCCGACCCUGCACGGCCCUGGUGGACACUGGGUCGACCAUCUCCCUGGUGCGUCCGGGCGUUUUUCCGGGCACCACCGGCGCACUCUCGGGGGGGUGGACGGCGACCAGCGUCCGCCUGACGACCGUUACGGGACAGGAGACCGGAAUGAGGGGAAGGAAGCGGCUGGCCGUCCGGGUGGGUGACCAGGAGGUGAUGCAUGAGUUUUGGCUCGCCGACAUCCGGGACUCGUGCAUCAUCGGCCUGGACCUGCUGAGCCGUUGGGGUGCCAGGAUGGACAUGGCUGGAGCAACCAUCACCAUCGGCACGGAGACGGUGGCGCUCCAGUCCGGACGGGGGGGGAGCAUGGGGGCUCUGGCGGCCAGCGGAGUAGUCGCCGGGUUGUGCCCCAGGAGCCUCUGCCUCUGCCCGGCCCCUGCAUUCCCCGCGGCCCUGUAUCUGCCGCCUUUCCUUCCCCUGAGACCGCCGAGGCCGUCAAUGCGCUUUGGCUGCGCAGUGGAGCUGGCCUCGACGUACAGCAGAGUCUGCAGCUGAGGCUGUUACUCGAGGAGUACGGGGACAUUUUCGCGGCACGGGAUGAGGACUGCAGGCGGACAGGGCUGGUGCAGCAUGACAUCGACACCGGCUCUGCUCGGCCCAUCCGCCUGCGGCCCCACCGAUUAGCACUAGCCAAGCGCCAGGCGGCGGAGGACAAGGUCCGCGAGAUGGCUGCCGGGGGAGUGAUCGAGCCCUCGUCCAGUCCAUGGGCGGCCCCGGCAGUCCUGGUGAAGAAGAAGGACGGUAGCUGGAGGUUCUGCGUGGACUACCGGCGCCUCAACGAGGUCACCCGGAAGGACUCGUAUCCGCUUCCACGGAUCGACGACGCCCUGGACUACAUCGGGGGGUCUAGCUGGUUCAGCUCCCUGGACCUCCGCAGCGGCUACUGGCAGGUGGAGUUGGCACCCGAGGCCAGACCCAAGACUGCGUUCACCAUUGGACAGGGACUGUGGCAGUUCCGUGUCAUGCCGUUCGGACUAUGCAACGCGCCGGCGACGUUCGAGCGGAUGAUGGAGAGGGUGCUGGCGAGCAUCCCCCGGAGUCGUUGUGUCGUGUACCUGGACGAUUUGUUGGUGCACGCCCGCGACUUUGGGGGAGCGCUGGCGAACCUGCGGGAGGUUCUUGGGGCCAUCCGCCGGGCCGGGUUGCGGCUGAACCCUGCCAAGUGUUCCCUGCUGGCCAGGGAAACGCUGUUCUUGGGGCACGUGGUGAACGAGCAUGGCGUAGCCACUAACCCGGCCAAGGCAGCUGCAGUCCGGGACUGGCCGACCCCCACCAACGCCGGUGAACUGCGGAGUUUUCUGGGCCUGGCGGGGUACUACCGCCGGUUCGUCCAAGACUUUGCCACGGUCGCUAGCCCCCCUCCACCGCUUAACCGAGGCAGGCCGGCCGUACGUCUGGGACGAUGCCUGCGCCACGGCCUUCUCCCGACUCCAAGCGGUGCUCACCGAGGCCCCGGUCCUGGCGUACCCCGACGCUGGUCGCCCUUUCGUCCUCGACACCGAUGCCAGUAACGUGGGGGUCGGUGCGGUCCUCUCCCAGGGGGUGGGGGAGGAGGAACGUCCCAUCGCCUACUUCAGCCGCACUCUCAGUCGGGCGGAGCGCAAUUACUGCGUGACCCGACGGGAGCUGUUGGCUGUGGUCCUGGCCGUGCGGCAUUUCAGGCCGUACCUACAUGGGAAGCGUUUCCUGGUCCGCACCGACCAUGCGUCCCUCACGUGGCUCCUCAGUUUUAAGAACCCUGAGGGCCAGGUGGCUCGAUGGCUGGAGAUUCUGCAGGAAUACGACUUCGAGAUCCAGCAUCGGGCGGGGGCGUAUCCACAACAACGCAGACGCACUCUCCCGGCGGCCCUGUGCGGUCCUGGAGUGUCGCUACUGCCUGCGACAGGAGGAGCGGGUCCACGAGUCUCCGAUGGUGGCGGCUCUCCAGACCACCGAGGCUGACCAGACCAUCGGUGAGGCGGAGGGCUGGCUCCUGCUGACGGCGAGUCAGUUGGAGCAGCAGCAGCGGGCCGACGAGACCCUGGCGUUGGUGAGGGACUGGCUGGAGGCGGGGCAGCGCCCCAGCUGGCCGGAGGUGUCGGCACGAGGGCCUGAGGUGAAGGCCUACCACUCCCAGUGGGGAUGCUUCCGGCUCCACAACGGGGUGGUCCACCGCAGCUGGCAGGACCCUAGGGGUAAGAAAAACAUUCUGCAGCUGUUGGUGCCCCGUGCGCUUCGUCCCCAGGUGCUGCAGCUGGUCCACGGCUC